CGCCGACGGAGGAACUUCUCCCUGAAACUGCUGUGGCAUCGAAAACCUCCCUCUCGUCCCCGCCUUGACGUCUUCCAUUGUAAUUGGCAUACUCUCCAUUAAAGACCCACUCGCUGGCCUCAGAUCGACUUCGCCCUUACGUGCACAUCUUAUUGGAGGAAGUUCUGCCAAGCGCUUCGCCGGAUCGAACUUCGCUAGCGAGGCUCAGGCCACCUGUAUUCAGCGAGCUCUGCUUCUUGAGACAAUGUUCCUUACGAGCGAUCGCUUCACUUGAUCAGCAUUCGCGAAGUGUUCCUCGCUAGCACUCGCUUCGCGGCCAGUCCCUGAUGUCCUCGCGACCAUCUCGCUUAGCGGCCAUCUCUUCGCGGUCAUCUGCUUUCGCUCGCGGCCUCGCGCUCUUCGCGGUCGCCUCUUAUGCGCCG
rnacentral:lncRNA from 1 species